UACGUAGGGUGCAAGCGUUGUCCGGAAUUAUUGGGCGUAAAGAGCUCGUAGGCGGUCUGUCGCGUCUGCUGUGAAAACCUAGGGCUUAACUCUGGGCGUGCAGUGGGUACGGGCAGACUAGAGUGCGGUAGGGGAGACUGGAAUUCCUGGUGUAGCGGUGAAAUGCGCAGAUAUCAGGAGGAACACCGGUGGCGAAGGCAGGUCUCUGGGCCGUAACUGACGCUGGAGGAGCGAAAGCCAUGGGGAGCGAACAGG
rnacentral:rRNA from 1 species